rnacentral:rRNA from 1 species
UACGUAGGCAGCGAGCGUUGUUCGGAGUUACUGGGCGUAAAGGGCGCGUAGGCGGCUUGGCAAGUGGAUGGUGAAAUCCCUCGGCUUAACCGAGGAACUGCCGUCCAAACUGCUUCGCUUGAGACCGGGAGAGGUGAGUGGAAUUCCCAGUGUAGCGGUGAAAUGCGUAGAUAUUGGGAGGAACACCAGUGGCGAAGGCGGCUCGCUGGACCUCUUCUGACGCUGAGGCGCGAAAGCCAGGGGAGCAAACGGG